UACGUAGGUGGCAAGCGUUAUCCGGAUUUAUUGGGUUUAAAGGGUGCGUAGGCGGGCUAUUAAGUCAGUGGUGAAAGCCCCAAGCUUAACUUGGGAACUGCCAUUGAUACUGAUGGUCUUGAGUACAUUUGAGGUGGGCGGAAUGUGUCAUGUAGCGGUGAAAUGCUUAGAUAUGACACAGAACACCGAUUGCGAAGGCAGCUCACUAAACUGUAACUGACGCUGAGGCACGAAAGCGUGGGGAGCAAACAGG
rnacentral:rRNA from 1 species